rnacentral:rRNA from 1 species
CGGACGACGCUGGCGGCGUGCUUAAUACAUGCAAGUCGAGCGAGGUUACUGUUUUGGAUCCCUUCGGGGUGAAGAAGCUUUAACCUAGCGGCGGACGGGUGAGUAACGCGUGGGUAACCUACCCCAAAGUCCGGGAUAACAGCGGGAAACCGCUGCUAAUACCGGAUGCCUUUACCUUGGGGCAUCUUGAGGUAAAGAAAGGUAACGCUUUGGGAUGGGCCCGCGUCCCAUUAGCUAGUUGGUGAGGUAACGGCUCACCAAGGCGACGAUGGGUAGCCGGCCUGAGAGGGUGGACGGCCACACUGGGACUGAGACACGGCCCAGACUCCUACGGGAGGCAGCAGUAGGGAAUAUUGCGCAAUGGACGGAAGUCUGACGCAGCGACGCCGCGUGAGCGAUGAAGGUCUUCGGAUCGUAAAGCUCUGUCCUUGGGGAAGAAGGUCUUCGGACUUGACGGUACCCAAGAAGAAAGCCCCGGCUAACUACGUG